AGAGUUUGAUCCUGGCUCAGGAUGAACGCUAGCGGCAGGCUUAACACAUGCAAGUCGAGGGGCAGCAUAAUGGAUAGCAAUAUCUAUGGUGGCGACCGGCGCACGGGUGCGUAACGCGUAUGCAACCUACCUUUAACAGGGGGAUAACACUGAGAAAUUGGUACUAAUACCCCAUAAUAUCAUAGAAGGCAUCUUUUAUGGUUGAAAAUUCCGAUGGUUAGAGAUGGGCAUGCGUUGUAUUAGCUAGUUGGUGGGGUAACGCUCACCAAGGCGACGAUACGAGUAGGGGGACUGAGACGGUUAACCCCCANACUGGUACUGAGACACGGACCAGACUCCGUACGGGAGCA
rnacentral:rRNA from 1 species